rnacentral:rRNA from 1 species
GACGAACGCUGGCGGCGUGCUUAACACAUGCAAGUCGAACGGAAAGGCCCUGCUUUUGUGGGGUGCUCGAGUGGCGAACGGGUGAGUAACACGUGAGUAACCUGCCCUUGACUUUGGGAUAACUUCAGGAAACUGGGGCUACUAUCGGAUAGGAGCCCCCGCUGCAUGGUGGGGGUUGGAAAGUUUCGGCGGUUGGGUAUGGACUCGCGGCUUAUCAGCUUGUUGGUGGGGUUGUGGCUUACCAAGGCUUUGACGGGUAGCCGGCCUGAGAGGGUGACCAGCCACAUUGGGACUGAGAUACGGCCCAGACUCCUACGGGAGGCAGCAGUGGGGAAUAUUGCACAAUGGGCGGAAGCCGGAUGCAGCGGCGCCGCGUGCGGAAUGACGGCCUUCGGGUUGUAAACCGCAUUCGCCUGUGACGAAGCGGGAGUGACGGUAAUGAGUAAAGAAGCACCGGCUAACUACGUG